GACGAACGCUGGCGGCGUGCUUAACACAUGCAAGUCGAACGGAAAGGCCCUGCUUUUGUGGGGUGCUCGAGUGGCGAACGGGUGAGUAACACGUGAGUAACCUGCCCUUGACUUUGGGAUAACUUCAGGAAACUGGGGCUAAUACCGGAUAGGAGCUCCUGCUGCAUGGUGGGGGUUGGAAAGUUUCGGCGGUUGGGGAUGGACUCGCGGCUUAUCAGCUUGUUGGUGGGGUAGUGGCUGACCAAGGCUUUGACGGGUAGCCGGCCUGAGAGGGUGACCGGCCACCAUGGGCCUGAGGUACGGCCCAGACUCCUACGGGCGGCAGCAGUGGGGAAUAUUGCGCAAUGGGCGGAAGCCUGAUGCAGCAACGCCGCGUGCGGGAUGACGGCCUUCGGGUUGUAAACCGCUUUCGCCUGUGACGAAGCGUGAGUGACGGUAAUGGGUAAAGAAGCACCGGCUAACUACGUG
rnacentral:rRNA from 1 species